GGGGGCGGGGGCCGGGCGGCUCCGGCCCCCGCGGGCCUCGGGGAGGCGGGGCCGGGGCGGGCGCUCGGCCCAAUCAGAGCGCGGCGGUUUCAAGAGGCCCCUUCCGCGCCCCGCUCCGCCCCGUGCGGCGCCGCGCUGCGGGCGGGCGGCCCCGGGGGAGCGCGGGCGGCCGGGAGCGGGCAGGGAGCGGUGAGCGCCGCUGUGCGCGGCGCGAUGGGCAGCGCGGCGCUCCCUGAGCCGUGCCUCGCAGCCGGGCUCCGCCGGCGGGGCGUCCCCGUUGCCUCCUCCGAAUAACGCUUCUGGGUCGGCGACGCGGAGCGGUUCGCGCUGCCCGCACGUCGGUUCGGUGCUGCCUGCGGGCGCACGGAGGCGGGGAAGGCCCUCGGCCGCUCCCCGUUGGCGGCGGAGAUGCGGCCGCCUCGAAGGCGAGGCGAUGCUGUGCGGUGGGGAGGCGGGGCGUCCCUCCCGGCCCCGCGGGGUCGCGCGUCGUUCCCCACCCGAAGCCCCGGUCGGCCUCUGCCGCCCCUCCCGCUCCGUCCGUGCGGGCGGAGGCCCUGCCGCCCCUCGCGGGUGUUCUCCGGGCCCGGGGGUCGGGGCGGGCCCGGCGGCGGCGCAGCGCCGUGCUGAGGGCUGGGUGCUGCACGGCGGAUGGCGGCGGCCCCGGCCGGAGGCAAUAAAACACCGGGAAUGAUGCGGCAAAACGGGCCGGAGCUGCGUGGCGAAAUAAAUCAUCCCACGCGGAGGAGGCGGUUUUCUGCCCGGCCUUUCGCGUUGGCCCCCGACAAAGCCCCGGCGGGCAGCGAGGGCCGGGCUGGAUGCGGCCCUGCACGGCGCCCCCGGCCGCUGCCAUCAUCUCCUCCCACCUCCCUCGCCUUCACCUUGGAGCGAGCGGCUCGCCGAGCUGCCAGCGGUGAUAAAAUGGCUGUGCCCCGAAUUUAUGGGGCUUAUCUGUGAGUAACUCUUGGAGGUGACGCGGCCGUCGAGCCGGGGAGGAGGGGAGCUUUGCUUUGGGAUACGCCGCGCUCGCAGCCCCGGCGUGUGCCCCCGCUGCUCCCCUUGUCCGCCGUGCCCUCAGAGCCCCCCGUAUCCCCAGCUCAUAGGGACACAGCGGCCCCAGCCCAGCUCCCUGCUGGCACGCUGAGGGCUCGUUUCCUACGCUCGGCGCGUUUACGAGGAGCUCCAUCGCUUUGGCACAUGGCAGCGGCCCCUGCGGAGCACAUUUAGCACCCCGGGAUUGCUGCUUCUCGACGCGUGUGCCUCCGCUGUGCUGCAGGGAGCCCUGGGGACAAGCAGGCACCGAGCAGCACCCGGGCUGGGGGAAGCACCGCGCCGGAGCCCUCCCUCCACGCUGCCGCAGUGACAUCCAUCACAAGUUUCUAAGCCUCAUCUAAUUUUGGAGGCCUUCAGCAAAUCCAGGCGCUGUCGCUGCCAAACGAGGCUGCCAAUGUUUCCCUCGGAAGACGGCUUUGCUCCGAAGGACCCUUCUGGAUGGUUUUGCUUUGAAUAGAAGGAUGGAACCGGGCGGCAUGGCUGUGGGAUGGCCCCGCUGCGGUGUGAGCCUUCCCUUUGUCGCCCUUCAGCCAUGAAAAGUGGGAGGUUCGGACCGUGUCCAGGGAAAAGAAUGGGACAGAGGGGCCGAGGGAAGCCAGAGGCGGUGAGGUCGGCGUGCCGGGAGGUGCGAGGGCUUGCAGAAACCCAACUGCUUCUGCAGUUACCCGGCGUCAGGAAAAUGAAGCUGAAGUGUGAAAAAAUGAAAGUGAAAAAGAUAGGAACCAACCCACGGCUAUUUAUUCUAAAAAUACUGACCUAAAUACUUAAGUGCACGUAUAAAAGUAGUUGUCUUUUCUUAUUCCCUUUAUGGACUCCCCUGCUUUGGUUCUUGUUUUGCUCAGAAAUCGGAGGGAUGGGCUCCUCGGGGGCACCCACCCCAUUCCUCCUGUGCUUUGCCGUGUGCCCCAAGCCCACCCAGAGCCCCGUAUGGGGCGGGGACACCCACAGGUGGCUGAUAAGGGAGCAGGGAGUGAUAUGGCCCCAGGGUGAGGAGCAGUGCUGGGGUGACUCUACAGAGCCUGUAAAACCUCAUCUGCAGGGAGAAAAGGAGCUGCUGGGGUCCCUUCCUCACCUCAGCCAGCAGAUCUUCCCUGCGCUCUUUGCUUUUUUUUUUUUAUAUGGAAAACCAAAGACACCAUAAACAGCUAAAAAAGAGCAGUUUGGGCUGUGGCUCUGGCCUGGAGUUACCUGCCUGAGCGCUGGGUUGCAUAGGGAGGGGAUGCUUAAUUGCAACACGUCGCUGGAAGGGAAACGCACGCCUUCCGUGCGUGCUUGUCUUGUCUGCACGGAGGGGAAGCUGCAGCCUCAGACCCCAGGAGCAGCGGGGGAGCUGGGGAGCCUGGGUCCUGCAGUGUGCUGAGCACAGCAACAGCCGAGAAACGGAGCCGGUCUGGGGGACGGGGGAGAAGCUGAGGCAGGGGCAGCAGCAGGAAGAUGCCUGUCCCCAUCCAUCCUCUGCUGUCCCCGUGCUGGGGACAGCCUCCCUGACCUCCCGUCCAGGCUGGGCGCCUGCAGACGGACCUUUGGAGGCAUCAAAGGAGGUGGAGAUUCCAGCCCCUAUUGAAUUUCUAGUCCCCAACGACCUGAGGGGCAGGGGAAAGAAGGGAACUGGUUUUUGUCUGCUCGGUAUCUCAGACAAUCAAUGAAUUAAAGGGAAAUAAACUGCUGAUGAGGAGCGAACGUGGAGCUCGACGUGCUGCAAAACGUGAGGAGCAGAGAAGCGGCCGUGGCCAUUCCACUGUGCGGGGCAGGAAAGGGACGAUGGUGUGGGCACAGAGAAGGCCUUUCUUUCAUUUGUUCCUGGCCAAGAGCACACGCAGAUCGCCCUGGGGACACCGGCACUUUCCUCCUCCGCGCAGAAUGU
rnacentral:lncRNA from 1 species